rnacentral:rRNA from 1 species
CCUACGGGUGGCUGCAGUGGGGAAUUUUGGACAAUGGGCGCAAGCCUGAUCCAGCCAUGCCGCGUGGGUGAAGAAGGCCUUCGGGUUGUAAAGCCCUUUCGGCUGGGACGAAAAGGUCCGUGCUAAUACCACGGAUCCAUGACGGUACCAGCAGAAGAAGCACCGGCUAACUACGUGCCAGCAGCCGCGGUAAUACGUAGGGUGCAGGCGUUAAUCGGAAUUACUGGGCGUAAAGCGUGCGCAGGCGGUUUGCUAAGACAGGUGUGAAAUCCCCG